GGCUUUUUAUAACAAUGCCAAGGGGCAGGGCAAAAGACCUCCCCCUUGCUAGAUCAAAGCACACUGCACAACCAAGUGUAGACCCUUCCAAACACCUGGUAACCAUGCCCGUGGUCAAAUCAUCACCUUAUGCAGCCCUGCCUGGUAAAGCAUACUCCCUGGAUCCUG